rnacentral:rRNA from 1 species
GAUGAACGCUGGCGGCGUGCCUAAUACAUGCAAGUCGAGCGAACAGACGAGGAGCUUGCUCCUCUGACGUUAGCGGCGGACGGGUGAGUAACACGUGGAUAACCUACCUAUAAGACUGGGAUAACUUCAGGAAACCGGAGCUAAUACCGGAUAAUAUAUUGAACCGCAUGGUUCAAUAGUGAAAGACGGUUUUGCUGUCACUUAUAGAUGGAUCCGCGCCGCAUUAGCUAGUUGGUAAGGUAACGGCUUACCAAGGCGACGAUGCGUAGCCGACCUGAGAGGGUGAUCGGCCACACUGGAACUGAGACACGGUCCAGACUCCUACGGGAGGCAGCAGUAGGGAAUCUUCCGCAAUGGGCGAAAGCCUGACGGAGCAACGCCGCGUGAGUGAUGAAGGUCUUCGGAUCGUAAAACUCUGUUAUUAGGGAAGAACAAAUGUGUAAGUAACUAUGCACGUCUUGACGGUACCUAAUCAGAAAGCCACGGCUAACUACGUG